rnacentral:sRNA from 1 species
CAUUCUCAGUUUCUUCUACUCUCAACUCUAGCUUUCUCUGUCUCCAAAAUGGCGAUUUUUCUAGCCCUCCAACCUUCCAUCUUUCUCUCACGAAUUAUCAACAACAGUGUUUUCUUGUCGGAAAAAUCACUCAGCCGCUACAACUUCUUAGAUUUUUCAAUUCGAUCCGAUCCAAUUUUUUUACCCAGAAAAGUUGGCAUUUCCUGGCUCGGGUCCUCCUCUUCUUCUUCUUCACCCAAACCAACAACCCCACCUUCGAUUGUUACCGAUGAAAACAUCACGAAUUGAGGCGCAACACCAAUGCUGUAACAGUUAUAAGAAAAGAGCUUCAAACCCACAAAGGUCACUGAAGCUGAUAUCGAAGUGUUCAAAGCAAACUAGAAGGGAUUUUAUUUUUAGAAGAAGGAUUUGAUUGAUCUUUACAGCUAGUGCAAGGGGAAUAUGAAUAGGUAUUAGCUUUAUUUUUCACUGCAUUUAUCUUUUUGGUCAUUUGGAUUCCUGUUUCUGUUUGAUACUUGCAUACUGUUCUAUUCAAUGAUAGGUUCUGAUCCUAAACUCGAUUCACACUGUUUCAAGGAAAUUCUUAUAAGGCAAUUGCUACAGGGAUGGAGUGAGCGAAUCACAGUUCAACCAAGUCUUCAACGAUGAAUUGAGCUAGAUCAUUGAGGUCUCUUUGUCAAGUUAAUUUUUCAUUCUAAUUGUUUCGUGGAAAUAGAAAAUGUUCAGACCUAAAUUUCCUUAUUCUAUAGUUAUAGAUAGUACUGGUAGCGUGCAUUUUUGGUUUUACUUGGUUAAGAUUGUUAUGGAAGCACUUUAUAUGAGUUGCAAAAUGCUCUUGGUCAAAUAGAGAGAGAAAAAAAGGGGAAAUGUGAGUCGGGCAGUUAAAUAGUGUAAAAUUUUAAAAUUACAAAAGUUUGUUAGUUGUGUUAAUAAUUGCUUUUACAUGUGUAUGCUGGUAUUUGUAUCAUUCUUUUUGCAUAUAUAUGUUGGUAUGCUUCAUGAGUUGAUGUGCUUAAAACUUAAUGUUCUUUGCUAUACACUGUUUCUGUUGCAGUCCUAUUAGAUUUGGAAUGUGAUUGUGUAAAUUCU